UAUAUACUCCGUCCGUCCAACAAAAGAUGUCUCAAGUUUGUCAAAAUUUAGAUGUAUCUAGCAGACAUGACUUAAUGUAUAGAUGUAUUCAAAUUUAGUUAAAGUUGAGACAUAUUUUGUUUGACGGAGUAAGUAUUUG
rnacentral:pre_miRNA from 1 species